rnacentral:rRNA from 1 species
UACGGAGGAUGCGAGCGUUAUCCGGAUUUAUUGGGUUUAAAGGGUGCGCAGGCGGACUGUUAAGCCGGCGGUCAAAUGUCGGGGCUCAACCCCGGCCUGCCGUCGGAACUGGGUGCCUUGAGUGGGCGAGAAGUAUGCGGAAUGCGUGGUGUAGCGGUGAAAUGCAUAGAUAUCACGCAGAACCCCGAUUGCGAAGGCAGCAUACCGGCGCCCGACUGACGCUGGGGCACGAAAGCGUGGGUAUCGAACAGG